UACGGAGGAUGCGAGCGUUAUCCGGAUUUAUUGGGUUUAAAGGGUGCGUAGGCGGUCCGGAAAGUCAGCGGUAAAAUCGAGGGGCUCAACCCCUUUAAGCCGUUGAAACUGGGGAUCUUGAGUGGGCGAGAAGUAUGCGGAAUGCGUGGUGUAGCGGUGAAAUGCAUAGAUAUCACGCAGAACUCCGAUUGCGAAGGCAGCAUACCGGCGCCCGACUGACGCUCAGGCACGAAAGCGUGGGUAUCGAACAGG
rnacentral:rRNA from 1 species